rnacentral:lncRNA from 1 species
GGCCUCUUUACUCAAGGUGGACGAAAAUCUCUCUCCCUCCUCCUUUAUAUAUCCCAUGAGCCCCCCUAUGAAGACUGGGGUUUUGAUUAGAUAAAGUUUAGCCAUCUUUGCUACUUUCGUGUAAUCGCGUGUGUCGGUUAGACCACCUGUUUUACCGCUUUCGGAACCUCAACUUAUCGUCUCGUUGAGACAUUGGUUUGAUAUAGUAUAUUCCCAAUUUCAGAUUGCAUCCGCUAUUUAUCUUGUUCUUGCUUGUUCUUCGAUUGCUUGCAAGAACAAAGACCUUCGUGGUCAGGUUGAUCGUGCCCCCGCGUGAUCAAUAACCCUCUGGAGUUUGUGUAUCGAUUGCUAAGGCGCUGCCUUCUAGGCCGUAGUCGGAUCUUCAACGUCACCUCCUACCCAAAUCGAGAGUUAUCAAUCUCAUCGAAAGAUCGGGCCACCCCGACCCACAUCACGUGGUAUCAGAGCUUAAGGUUGCUCGAUGAGAUUUUUUCCAGUUUAUCCGUAGUUUAGAUCUGUUUUUACCUAUCGUCCAGAAAAAGCCAAACAAACCUUGUCCUAGAACCAAUCUGAGCCUUGCAAGUUUCACAUUAGUAUUUGCAUUGUUGAAUCUUUGCUGCAAUAAUCGUGUCGAGUUGCUGGAUUAGAUUGGAUCGUUUUUCAGAUUUUUUCUACUACAUCGAACUUGCUUUUGGUUUUCUUGUUCUUCGUGUGACGCAGGUUUCCUUCAUCAAUCUUCCGCCGCCAAACUCCCUGCCACACCACCGCCACGCCAUAAUCUUCUGCUACCACCAUAUCUUCCAUCGAGUCCCUUGUCGAGUCCUACACUGAGUCCCUCGUCGAGUCCUACACCGAGUCCCUCUUCGGCAAGUUAUAGUUUUCAGCCGAGAAUCCGAGUUCGAGUCCAAUCGGGAGAGAGUUGGGAAAGAGUUUCGGAAAGAGGAAAGAUAUAAAAAAAAAUCUUGGAGAUCAAGUUGUUCGGAAAGUUGUGAUACAGAAAAAAAAGGAGAAAAAAAAACAGAAAAAAAGAGAGAAGGAGUUCGAGUAAGUUUCGGACCCGAGUCCGACUAGAAUUUUAGUUUCGGGUGGGUUUGACCCAUGUUCAGUAAAACGGGCGUAUCUUUUGCGUACCAACUCGGAUUUGGACGUUCUUGGACUUUUUGGAAAGCUCACGACGAGGCGCAUCAGGAAAUAUCCAGAGGUAAGCCCUGCACUUUGACCCUCAAAUUCCGCUUCUAAGGUGGACUUUCGGAGCUUCCAAGUUGCUGCAUCCGUUUUCCGGCGUCGCUGCAGCCCGGUGUUUUUCAGUUUUCUCCACCGUCCGACAUCCGUUUUGAGUGAUCUUGCCUUUGCUGGAAAGCUUGUGUCGAUACGCUUCUAACCCUUAUUUUUCCAUAUUUUUCGGAAUUUUUCUUACUGCACCCUUUGCUGUUCUUCGACGGACCGACGUACAGUUUUCCGGUCCUUCUUUUGCAUGAGUUUCUGGGGUUAAGAAAAAAAGAAGAAGAAAAGAAUAAGAAGCCAAACAGAAGGCCACAAAAAGAAAAAAAAGAAAAAAAAUCCCAGGGAUUUACUUGUUGUGCCAUCUUUCUAUCUUACCUUUUUCAAUAUCUAGGCUUAGAUUAUUUCUGUAAUUCGUUCUUAUCGACUCCAGCAGCUAGGACUAGCAUUAUUGAGCAUAUUUUCAACUUUGCAUUGCUGAUUUGAUUAUUUGCUAUUCCUUGCUACUCACAAAAGCCUCUAAGCUCCACAGAUUCUACACCUAGGUUGGUUUGUUACCGAGGCAUCGAUACAUUCAAUCUUCGGAGGGUUUGGUUACGCCGCUGGCCAUCACCUUCCUGUUUUGCAUGGUAAGAACUCGUAAGAACUUGAUUUUUAGCUUGAGAGUUGAGCGACUUGUAGCCACAUCCUAGUAGUUGAUAGGAACAUAUUACUGAGAUUUGUUUCUUAUUUUCUACUAACCAUGACAGGACUUACACGAAGCAUGGCAACUAGACCGAUGCUAUCCCGUGACCGCGAUGAGUGCUUUUCACCACGGCCAUCCUCCACGUCUCUUGUUGACAAUGCCACGGUAAGGGUACAAAACAAUCCUUCUAAUACAAUUAAAUUGUGUGUACCUUUCUUUGAGGGGAAAAAUGAUGCUGAAACGUAUAUAGAACCCUCUGGAGUUGGUGUAUCGAUUGCUAAGGCGUUGCCUUCUAGGCUGUAGUCGGAUCGUCAACGUCACCUCCUACCCA